rnacentral:rRNA from 1 species
UACAGAGGUCCCGAGCGUUGUUCGGAUUCACUGGGCGUAAAGGGUGCGUAGGUGGCUUGACAAGUUUGAUGUGAAAUCUCCGGGCUUAACCCGGAAAAUGUAUUGAAUACUGUAGAGGCUUGAGGUUUGGAGGGGGGGGACUGGAAUUCUCGGUGUAGCAGUGAAAUGCGUAGAUAUCGAGAGGAACACCAGUGGCAAAGGCGAGUCCCUGGACAACACCUGACACUGAGGCACGAAAGCCGGGGAGCAAACAGG